AUUUAUAUAGUAUAAACAGUAUAUUUGACUUCCAAUCAUAAGGUCUAUUAUUUAUAGUAUAAAUA
rnacentral:tRNA from 1 species